rnacentral:rRNA from 1 species
UACAGAGGUCUCAAGCGUUGUUCGGAUUCAUUGGGCGUAAAGGGUGCGUAGGCGGCGCGGUAAGUCGGGUGUGAAAUCUCGGGGCUUAACUCCGAAACUGCAUUCGAUACUGCCGUGCUUGAGGACUGGAGAGGAGACUGGAAUUUACGGUGUAGCGGUGAAAUGCGUAGAUAUCAGGGAGGAACACCGGUGGCGAAGGCGGGUCUCUGGGCAGUAACUGACGCUGGAGGAG